rnacentral:rRNA from 1 species
AUUGAACGAUGGCGGCAGGCCUAACACCUGCAAGUCGAACGAGUGGCGGACGGGUGAGUAAUGCCUGGGAAACUGCCUGAUGGAGGGGGAUAACUACUGGAAACGGUAGCUAAUACAGCAUACCAUCGGAUGUGCCCAGAAGGGAUUAGCGAGUAGGUGGGGUAACGGCUCACCUAGGCGACGAUCCCUAGCUGGUCUGAUAGGAUGACCAGCCACACUGGAACUGAGACACGGUCCAGACUCCUACGGGAGGCAGCAGUGGGGAAUAUUGCACAAUGGGCGCAAGCCUGAUGCAGCCAUGCCGCGUGUAUGAAGAAGGCCUUCGGGUUGUAAAGUACUUUCAGCGGGGAGGCGUUACCCGCAGAAGAAGCACCGGCUAACUCCGUGCCAGCCGCCGCGGUAAUUC